rnacentral:misc_RNA from 1 species
GUUGGUGAACCAGCGGAGGGAUCAUUAAAGAGUUGCAAAACUCCCAAACCAUUGUGAACUUACCUUCAACGUUGCUUCGGCGGGUUGGCCCCGGUCUCCGGGGUCCCCGGCCCUACUCGGGCGCCCGCCGGAGGACCCGAACUCUUGUUUUAGCAGUGGCAUCUUCUGAGUAAUUUUAUAAAUAAAUCAAAACUUUCAACAACGGAUCUCUUGGUUCUG